rnacentral:rRNA from 1 species
AUUGAACGCUGGCGGCAUGCUUUACACAUGCAAGUCGGACGGCAGCACAGAGAAGCUUGCUUCUUGGGUGGCGAGUGGCGAACGGGUGAGUAACAUAUCGGAACGUACCGAGCAGUGGGGGAUAACUAAUCGAAAGAUUAGCUAAUACCGCAUAUUUUCUGAGGAAGAAAGCAGGGGACCAUUUGGCCUUGCGCUGUUUGAGCGGCCGAUAUCUGAUUAGCUAGUUGGUGGGGUAAAGGCCUACCAAGGCGACGAUCAGUAGCGGGUCUGAGAGGAUGAUCCGCCACACUGGGACUGAGACACGGCCCAGACUCCUACGGGAGGCAGCAGUGGGGAAUUUUGGACAAUGGGCGCAAGCCUGAUCCAGCCAUGCCGCGUGUCUGAAGAAGGCCUUCGGGUUGUAAAGGACUUUUGUCAGGGAAGAAAAGGGCGGGGUUAAUACCUCUGUCUGAUG